AUCUCUCUCGUGACAAGAAAUAGCAUGGGAGUAAAGAGCUGGAGGAGAGCCGGUCUAUUUAGCCAUCAGAAGCAUCUCUACUCCAUCCAAUCCAGAUGGCUAUUUUUUUUUUCUGGAUAAAACAUUAUUUUUUUUCUUUCUACAUGAUGAAUGCACGCCAUCAGUCCUCUCUCCUGCAUGACGUGGAUAGCCCAUGCUCCUUGCAUUGAGGAGGCUCUGGUCUCAACGGUUCAGUUGACACCUAUGUCCAUAAUUAGCUCCGGCUGGAUACGUCAGCGAUCAUACCAUGUGUCACGCGGGAAGAGUGCAGGGACGUGUUUUAAUGCAUAGGAUAGAUAACAGGACUGGCCUCAUGUGUGCCAUUAAGUUAAGCAACGUGCCAUUCUUGCGCAAAGUGGUCGUUAGGAUCCCUCGUUCUCCAAGGUAAAUACCGCCUCCUUUCUCCGCCCGCUACUCGUUUGCGAUGUUGCCUCUGAGACAAAGGGAGAGAUGAAGGCGCUGGGUUGUGGUUGAUGCUGGUGGGCUCGCUUCGUCUCGCCUCUAUCUGGUUCGGAUUCUUCGACAUCUGGGCUCUCCGCCUUGCUGUCUUCUCCCAAACCCAGAGUGUAUUCUCUCUUCCCCUCUCUCCUGACUGCCCCUAUUUCUCAAUAUAUCUCUUAUGAUGUACCUCUGACAUCCAUGGCCUGACGAAAUGGCUUCACAGUAGGUGCUUAGCUUCGUGCUACAUUUGCACAUUUGCGCAUCUGUACCUUUGGCUUUUGGCGAUUAAUCUUCGCAUACUCGGACGACAUUACUGAGUUGUUUGCAAAUCUGUGCCGCAUUUACUAUUUUGUAGUUCAGUAAUGCACCGUUGACCAAAAGUUUGAUUCUACUGAGUUAUAAUUCAGGGAAGUGGUUGUUGGAGUACGUGUUCUUGUUGCAUGACACAGUGUGUCAGUGAAUGCCAGAAGGCCCAAUGAUUGAAGCAACUUGAGAUGAAGUCUUUUUAGUUCAGAGCAAGGAGAUAGUCAAGUGAACUAAGAUGUAUUUGAGGUAGAAGCAGCGUUGGGAAUGAAUGCUUUAGUAAAGCUCAACCAACAAGUACCUCGCUGUCAUUUUUCUACCACAUCUUGGCAUUCCUAAAAUGUUUUCAGAUGGGCUAGCCCACUGAUAUAUGAAGUAGGCAAAACCAACCCAGCAAGCUAGCAUAAGGUAGACUCCACCAAAUUGUGCCCACAAGCGUGACCUGCUAGUACUGGUGUGGCAUGAAGUGGGAGCUGGUUAGGCUUUAUCCUGUGGAUAUGGAUCUAGCAACUUUCUGAGGGUACCUGAAAAGCAUAUUUAUCAACGUACUGUAACGUGAGAUCCAACUUUGGGGUACUGUAAUCUUUCAUCAUGUGCCCCAUCACAGUCAAAUGCUAGUCAUUUCAUAUCUCCUUUUACAGGCACAUCAAUUGUGUGGAUGUUAUUACAGUGGAAUGCACAUCAACCUCGGGCUACUUGAAAAGUCGAAUGAACCAUUUUCAUAUAAGACAGAUGUACUCAGAUACUUAUUAUACCAUUCUCUUUGUUAAUCUUGGCAGUGUACUCACCAUUGGCCAAGAUUAUUAUCACCUCGUACUCUUCCUUGACAUGCAUUUUCGGAGAUGUAAUUCCAAGAGAAUUUUCUUACAAAGUCUAAGACUUUUCAAUGAAUGCUGUCAUGCGUUU